AAAGCGUGCGCAGGCGGUUUGUAAGACUGUCGUGAAAUACCCCGGGCUCAACCUGGGAAUGGCGAUGGUGACUGCAAGGCUAGAGUUUGGCAGAGGGGGGUAGAAUUCCACGUGUAGCAGUGAAAUGCGUAGAUAUGUGGAGGAACACCGAUGGCGAAGGCAGCCCCCUGGGUCAAAACUGACGCUCAUGCACGAAAGCGUGGGGAGCAAACAGGAUUAGAUACCCUAGU
rnacentral:rRNA from 1 species